rnacentral:lncRNA from 1 species
UCCCUGGAAGUAACUUCAGCCUUGACCUCCUCCUCAUCCUCUUCAUUUUUGUGUUUCUUCUUUUUGUCCUCCUUGUCUUUCUUCUUCUUUCCUUCUUUUUUGUCAUCUUUUUGCUCAUCGCUCUUCUUCUCUUUUUCAUCAUCACCGUAUUUGUGUUUCUUCUUUUUAUCAUCCUUGUCUUUCUUCUUCUCCCCUUCUUUUUUAUUGCCGUCACCUUUUACUUCAUCACUCUUCUCCUUUUCGCCAUCACCACCCUUGUGUUUCUUCUUUUUAUCGUCUUUCUUCUUCUCCCCUUCUUUUUUAUCAUCGUCACCUUUUACCUCAUCACUCUUCUUCUCUGUUUCAUCAUCACCGCCCUUGUGUUUCUUCUUUUUAUCGUCCUUUCCUUCAUCCUUACGCGUCUCCUCUGCUUCACCCUUUGAUUCCUUUACAUUAUCUUCAAUGUCAAUCUCCCUGGAAGUAACUUCAGCCUUGACCUCCUCCUCAUCCUCUUCAUUUUUGUGUUUCUUCUUUUUGUCCUCCUUGUCUUUCUUCUUCUUUCCUUCUUUUUUGUCAUCUUUUUGUUCAUCGCUCUUCUUCUCUUUUUCAUCACCACCAUCCUUGUGUUUCUUCUUUUUAUCAUCCUUCUCCUUCUUCUCCCCUUCUUUUUUAUCGUAGUCACCUUUUACCUCAUCGCUCUUCUUCUCUUUUUCAUCAUCGCCCUUGUGUUUCUUCUUUUUCUCAUCCUCGUCUUUCUUCUUCUUUCCUUUUUUCUUAUCAUCACCGUCGUUUUCCUCAUCCUUGUCUUUCUUCUCCUUCUUCUUCCCUUCUUUUUCAUCAUCCACCUUUUCCCCUUCCUCUAAAUCUUUAC